rnacentral:tRNA from 1 species
GAUCCCGUAGCUCAGCUGGUAGAGCAACUGACUUUUAAUCAGUAGGUCGCGCGUUCGAUUCGCGCCGGGAUCA